rnacentral:rRNA from 1 species
AAAUUGAAGAGUUUGAUCAUGGCUCAGAUUGAACGCUGGCGGCAGGCCUAACACAUGCAAGUCGAACGGUAACAGAAAGAAGCUUGCUUCUUUGCUGACGAGUGGCGGACGGGUGAGUAAUGUCUGGGAAACUGCCUGAUGGAGGGGGAUAACUACUGGAAACGGUAGCUAAUACCGCAUAACGUCGCAAGACCAAAGAGGGG